ACACACAGACAAACCCACACAUGUGCCCAUACUCCCAAACAGCCUGAUGUCAGUGUGCAUCUCCUUCACUGA